UACGUAGGGUGCGAGCGUUAAUCGGAAUUACUGGGCGUAAAGCGUGCGCAGGCUGUUCUGUAAGUCAGAUGUGAAAUCCCCGAGCUCAACUUGGGAACUGCGUUUGAAACUACAGGACUAGAAUAUGUCAGAGGGGGGUAGAAUUCCACGUGUAGCAGUGAAAUGCGUAGGAGAUGUGGAGGAAUACCAAUGGCGAAGGCAGCCCCCUGGGAUAAUAUUGACGCUCAUGCA
rnacentral:rRNA from 1 species